rnacentral:rRNA from 1 species
AGUCGACGGUAACGGAAGAAGCUUGCUUCUUUGCUGACGAGUGGCGGACGGGUGAGUAAUGUCUGGGAAACUGCCUGAUGGAGGGGGAUAACUACUGGAAACGGUAGCUAAUACCGCAUAACGUCGCAAGACCAAAGAGGGGGACCUUCGGGCCUCUUGCCAUCGGAUGUGCCCAGAUGGGAUUAGCUUGUUGGUGGGGUAACGGCUCACCAAGGCGACGAUCCCUAGCUGGUCUGAGAGGAUGACCAGCCACACUGGAACUGAGACACGGUCCAGACUCCUACGGGAGGCAGCAGUGGGGAAUAUUGCACAAUGGGCGCAAGCCUGAUGCAGCCAUGCCGCGUGUAUGAAGAAGGCCUUCGGGUUGUAAAGUACUUUCAGCGGGGAGGAAGGGAGUAAAGUUAAUACCUUUGCUCAUUGACGUUACCCGCAGAAGAAGCACCGGCUAACCCCGUGCCAGCAGCCGCGGUAAUACGGAGGGUGCAAGCGUUAAUCGGAAUUACUGGGCGUAAAGCGCACGCAGGCGGUUUGUUAAGUCAGAUGUGAAAUCCCCGGGCUCAACCUGGGAACUGCAUUCGAAACUGGCAGGCUAGAGUCUUGUAGAGGGGGGUAGAAUUCCAGGUGUAGCGGUGAAAUGCGUAGAGAUCUGGAGGAAUACCGGUGGCGAAGGCGGCCCCCUGGACAAAGACUGACGCUCAGGUGCGAAAGCGUGGG